rnacentral:rRNA from 1 species
CAAUAGCGUAUAUUUAAGUUGCUGCAGUUAAAAAGCUCGUAGUUGGAUUCCGGGUGGGAAUGGCCGGUCCGCCGUUUCGGUGUGCACUUGCUACGCCCACCUUGCUGCCGGGGACGUGCUCUUGAGUUCACGCUCGGGACACGGAGUCGGCGAGGUUACUUUGAGUAAAUUAGAGUGUUCAAAGCAGGCCUACGCUCUGAAUACAUUAGCAUGGAAUAACACGAUAGGACUCUGGCCUAUCUUGUUGGUCUGUAGGACCGGAGUAAUGAUUAAGAGGGACAGUCGGGGGCACUCGUAUUUCAUUGUCAGAGGUGAAAUUCUUGGAUUUAUGAAAGACGAACUACUGCGAAAGCAUUUGCCAAGGAUGUUUUCAUUAA